rnacentral:rRNA from 1 species
GAUGAACGCUGGCGGCGUGCCUAAUACAUGCAAGUCGAGCGAACAGACGAGAGUGCUUGCACUCUCUGACGUUAGCGGCGGACGGGUGAGUAACACGUGGGUAACCUACCUAUAAGACUGGGAUAACUUCGGGAAACCGGAGCUAAUACCGGAUAAUAUUUAGCUUCGCAUGAAGCAAUAGUGAAAGACGGUUCUGCUGUCACUUAUAGAUGGACCCGCGGUGUAUUAGCUAGUUGGUGAGGUAACGGCUCACCAAGGCAACGAUACAUAGCCGACCUGAGAGGGUGAUCGGCCACACUGGGACUGAGACACGGCCCAGACUCCUACGGGAGGCAGCGGUAGGGAAUCCUCCGCAAUGGACGAAAGUCUGACGGAGCAAUGCCGCGUGAGUGAAGAAGGUUUUCGGAUCGUAAAACUCUGUUGUAAGGGAAGAACAAGUACGUUAGUAACUGAACGUACCUUGACGGUACCUUACCAGAAAGCCACGGCUAACUACGUG